rnacentral:rRNA from 1 species
UGAGUAACCUGCCCCAGACUCUGGGAUAAGCACUGGAAACGGUGUCUAAUACCGGAUACGAGCUUCAGCCGCAUGGCUAGGAGCUGGAAAGAAUUUCGGUCUGGGAUGGACUCGCGGCCUAUCAGGUAGUUGGUGAGGUAACGGCUCACCAAGCCGACGACGGGUAGCCGGCCUGAGAGGGUGACCGCCACACUGGGACUGAGACACGGCCCAGACUCCUAGGGAGCAGCAGG